rnacentral:rRNA from 1 species
GGGGCGUGCGCUACCUGCAGUCGAGCGGAUGAAGGGAGCUUGCUCCUGGAUUCAGCGGCGGACGGGUGAGUAAUGCCUAGGAAUCUGCCUGGUAGUGGGGGAUAACGUCCGGAAACGGGCGCUAAUACCGCAUACGUCCUGAGGGAGAAAGUGGGGGAUCUUCGGACCUCACGCUAUCAGAUGAGCCUAGGUCGGAUUAGCUAGUUGGUGGGGUAAAGGCCUACCAAGGCGACGAUCCGUAACUGGUCUGAGAGGAUGAUCAGUCACACUGGAACUGAGACACGGUCCAGACUCCUACGGGAGGCAGCAGUGGGGAAUAUUGGACAAUGGGCGAAAGCCUGAUCCAGCCAUGCCGCGUGUGUGAAGAAGGUCUUCGGAUUGUAAAGCACUUUAAGUUGGGAGGAAGGGCAGUAAGUUAAUACCUUGCUGUUUUGACGUUACCAACAGAAUAAGCACCGGCUAACUUCGUGCCAGCAGCCGCGGUAAUACAAAGGGUGCAAGGGUUAACCGGAAUUUCCGAACGAAACCCGCGGGCUCGCGGUUUGUGCAGUUCCACGUUAAAUCCUUGGGGUUUCACUCGUGAACCGCUCCUCCUUAAGUGGACUACUGUACCCAUUUAGGUGCCCCCUAAUCCUUGCGGAUUCUCACUGCUAUUCAACUCUUUCUCUGCCCUUAUUCAUCGGCCUACUACUUCUGUUUCCUCCCAACCAAUGUUACAUACAUAUAAUAUUUCCACAUAACUAUCUCU